rnacentral:rRNA from 1 species
GUGUCAGCCGCCGCGGUAACACGAACUGCGCAAACGUUAUUCGGAAUCACUGGGCUUAAAGAGUUCGUAGGCGGCGCGUUAAGUCGGGUGUGAAAGCCCUCGGCUCAACCGAGGAAUUGCGCCCGAAACUAGCGUGCUUGAGUGAGAUAGAGGUGAGCGGAACUGAUGGUGGAGCGGUGAAAUGCGUUGAUAUUAUCAGGAACACCGGUGGCGAAAGCGGCUCACUGGGUCUCAACUGACGCUGAGGAACGAAAGCUAGGGUAGCGAACGGGAUUAGAUACCCCGGUAGUCCUAGCCGUAAACGAUGAGCACUAGGUUGAGGGGACCUCCACAUCCCCCCGGCCGUAGCGAAAGUGUUAAGUGCUCCGCCUGGGGAGUAUGGUCGCAAGGCUGAAACUCAAAUGAAUUGACGG